rnacentral:rRNA from 1 species
AGUUUGAUCCUGGCUCAGAUUGAACGCUGGUGACGUUUUUCUUACACAGCAAGUCGAACGGCAGCACGGACUGGUCUGGUGUAGCGAGUGGCGAACGGUGGAGUAAUGUAUCGAACGUGCUCAGUAGCGGUGACAACUACGCGAAAGUAGCUAAUACCGCAUACGUUCUUCUCGGGGGAAAGUGGGACCUCUGGCCCCGCACGGAUGGAGCGGCCGAUAUCGGAUUAGCUAGUUGCGGGGUGCAACGGCUCACCAAGGCGACGAUCCGUAGCUGGUUUGAGAGGACGACCAGCCACACCUGGGACCGGAGACACGGCCCAGACUCUACGAGGUAGCAGAGUAGUGGGGAAUUUUUGGACAAUGGGGGAAACCCUGAUCCAGCCAUCCCGCGUGCGAUGAAGGCCUUCGGGUUGUAAAGACUUUGGCAGGAAGAAACGGCACACGAUACCUUUGUGCAACUGACGGUACUCUGCAGAAUAAGCACUCGGCUACCAUGUGCCAGCAGCCGCGGUAAUGGCGUAGGUAAGCGUUAAUCGGAAUUACUGGGCGUAAAGCGUGCGCAGGCGGUUCGGAAAGAAAGAUGGGAACUUGUGAGCUUAACUUUGGAACUGCAUUUUUAACUACCGAGCUAGAGUGUGUCAGAGGGAGGUGAAUUCCGCGGUAGCAGUGAAAUGCGUAGAUAUGGGUGGAGGAACACCGAUGGCGAAGGCAGCCUCGGGAUAACACUGACGCUCAUGCACGAAAGCGUGGGGAGCAAACAGGAUUAGAUACCCUGGUAGUCCACGCCUCAAACGAUGUCAACUAGCUGUUAAAGCCUUCGGGCCUUGUAGCGCAGCUAACGUGCGUGAAGUUGACCGCCUUGGGGAGUACGGUCGCAAGAGAUUAAAACUCAAAGGAAUUGACGGGGAUCGCACAAGCGGUGGAUGAUGUGGAUUUAAUUGAUGCAACGCGAAAACCUUACCUACCCUUGACAUGUCUGGAAUCCCGAAGAGAUUUCCAGAGUACUUGCAGUGAGAACCGGAAUUAGGUGCCAUGGACGGCUGCUCAGCUCCUCGUGUCGUGAGAUGUUGGGUUAAGUCCUGCAACGAGCGCAACCCGCAUGUCAUUAGUUGCUACGAAAGGGCACUCUAAUGAGACUGCCGGUGACAAACCGAGGAAGGUGGGGAUGGUCGUCAAGUCCUCAUGGCCCUUAUGGGUAGGGCUACACGUCACACAAUGGUCGGGACAGAGGGUCGCCAACCCGCGAGGGGGAGCUAAUCCUAGAAACCGAUCGUAGUCCGGAUCGUAGUCUGCAACUCGACUGCGUGAAGUCGGAAUCGCUAGUAAUCAUGGAUCAGUAUGUCGCGGUGAAUACGUUCCCGGGUCUUGUAUGACACCUGCCCGUCACACCAUGGGAGUGGGUUUACCAGGAAGUAGUUAGCCUAACCGUAAGGAGGGCGAUUACCACGGUAGGAUUCAUGACUGUGCGUGAAGUCGUACGCGCAG